UGCGAAGAGUUUUGAUCUCCUAGGUAUGGGUUCAAUUCCCAUUUCUUUAAA
rnacentral:tRNA from 1 species